UGGGGAAUAUUGGACAAUGGGCGAAAGCCUGAUCCAGCAAUGCCGCGUGAGUGAUGAAGGCCUUAGGGUUGUAAAGCUCUUUUACCCGAGAUGAUAAUGACAGUAUCGGGAGAAUAAGCUCCGGCUAACUCCGUGCCAGCAGCCGCGGUAAUACGGAGGGAGCUAGCGUUGUUCGGAAUUACUGGGCGUAAAGAGCGCGCAGGCGGUCGUUCAAGUCGCGUGUGAAAGCCCCCGGCUCAACUGGGGAGGGUCACGCGAUACUGAUCGACUCGAAGGCAGGAGAGGGUAGUGGAAUUCCCGGUGUAGUGGUGAAAUGCGUAGAUAUCGGGAGGAACACCAGUGGCGAAGGCGACUACCUGGCCUGUUCUUGACGCUGAGGCGCGAAAGCUAGGGGAGCAAACGGGAUUAGAUACCCCGGUAGUCCUAGCCGUAAACGAUGGACACUAGGUGUUGGUGGUAUCAACCCCGCCAGUGCCGAAGCUAACGCAUUAAGUGUCCCG
rnacentral:rRNA from 2 species